rnacentral:rRNA from 1 species
GAUGAACGCUGGCGGCGUGCCUAAUACAUGCAAGUCGAGCGAACAGACGAGGAGCUUGCUCCUCUGACGUUAGCGGCGGACGGGUGAGUAACACGUGGAUAACCUACCUAUAAGACUGGGAUAACUUCGGGAAACCGGAGCUAAUACCGGAUAAUAUAUUGAACCGCAUGGUUCAAUAGUGAAAGACGGUUUUGCUGUCACUUAUAGAUGGAUCCGCGCCGCAUUAGCUAGUUGGUAAGGUAACGGCUUACCAAGGCAACAAUGCGUAGCCGCCCUGAGAGGAUGAUCGCGCGCACGGGAGCUGAGACACGGUCCAGAGUCCUAAGGAAGGCAGCAGUAGGGAAUAUUCCGCAAUGGGCGAAAGCCUUACGGAGCAAUGCCGCGUGAGGGAUGAAGGCCUUCGGAUCGUAAAACUCUGUUAGUAGGAAAGAACAAAUGUGUAAGUAACUAUGCACGUCUUGAAGGUACCUAAUCAGAAAGCCACGGCUAACUACGUG